AUUGAAUGCUGGCGGCAGGUCUAACACAUGCAAGUCGAACGGUAGCACAGAGAGCUUGCUCUCGGGUGACGUGUGGCGGACGGGUGAGUAACGUCUGGGUAACUGCCCGAGGGAGGGGGAUAACUACUGGAAACGGUAGCUAAUACCGCAUCACGUCGCAAGACCAAAGUGGGGGACCUUCGGGCCUCACACAAUCGGAUGUGCCCAGAUGGGAUUAGCUAGUAGGUGGGGUAAUGGCUCACCUAGGCGACGAUCCCUAGCUGGUCUGAGAGGAUGACCGGCCACCCUGGAACUGAGACACGGUCCAGACUCCUACGGGAGGCAGCAGUGGGGAAUAUUGCACAAUGGGCGCAAGCCUGAUGCAGCCAUGCCGCGUGUAUGAAGAAGGCCUUCGGGUUGUAAAGUACUUUCAGCGGGGAGGAAGGCGGUGAAGUUAAUAGCUUCACCGAUUGACGUUACCCGCAGAAGAAGCACCGGCUAACUCCGUGCCAGCCGCCGCCGUAA
rnacentral:rRNA from 1 species